AUGUGCAGCGCAGCGCUCAACAUGGGGAUCUCCCUCGCGUUUAUGCUCUGUGUGCUUUUUCUGUUCCCUGCCAGCCUCGGCCAUCCCAGCCACCCCUCUUGGGCCACGCUCAUGUGGGACAUGGCUCCUGAGGACAUUGGCCAAAUCUCCAACCUGUCCUACUCACAGGGCCACCUUUUGCCCUCCUCCGCCCAGCUGGAUGUAAGCGUGGCAAUCACAGAGGUGAUCUGCAGGAACAGUGCAGCCCUGUGCCUGCUCGGCGGGAUGUUGUUUGUGGUCAUUUUUGUAUGUAGCAAAGCCAGCAGGAGAUGGAAGGAGGAGACGAGCCAUCCACCUCCAGCUUUCACAGGGACUCACAGCUAUGACAGGAACUCCUACAAUCUCUGUGAGCAGUUAUGCCGGUUAGAAGCAAAUGUCAUCCUGCUGCAGAAGAUAGUGAGGAGACUGCUCCUAAGCUACCCAGAAGCUGGCAGGACCAGAGCAAAGAAGAGAAAGAGGAGAGACGUGGAACAGGAGGAGCAUCUCUUCUCCGCCUGCGUGCCCAACCAGAGCUCCAAAGUGGUUCUGGGAGGGAAUCAGUAUUGAUUCUUAUGAAUGAAGUGUGUGAACUUGAGCAAUAGGGAUGACUGCCUUGUAUUCAUCCAGACCUGGUGUGCCUGGCACGUGGUGGAGGCAGAGAGAAGGAAAAAGAACAAGAGAUGGAAUCAGGAGAGGGGAGCCCUCGCUCACCACCUCCCAGAGGCUCUCUCUGAACAAUGGCUCUGUUGGCAGGUGAAACCCACAGGUUUGUCUCCACCCAGGGAGCUCUCAGUGGGUGUUUGAUGUAACAUGCAGAAUGUCAUUUUUAAGGCCUAGGUUCAAGUCAUUAUCGUGAAGUUUGGUGCACCAAAGGGUCCUCAAGUUGCCUUUCUGGGCUUAGCAGUUGUCUCUUGAAUGCCUUGCAGUUCAGCGCAAGUUCCUCCAAAUUCAUUCUGCUGGCCCAACACAGCUCUGACUGCAUUUAUUUUGCGUUCAGGGACCUCCAAGUGCCUUUCUCUUUGGCCUCAGGAUUCUCAGAGUGCUUUCCUUUGACCUGUGAUCUCUUUUUUUGAUUUGUCUGGGGAGUUGCACGUGCUAUUCAGCGCAUUGCUUGCAUUUCCAAAGUCCUUGUGUGCUCAGUUCAGGGCUCCCCAGUUCAUUUUGGUGCUCCAGAGGCCUCCAGAGCCCUUUCUAUUCAACCCAUGGGCUUCACAGCAUCUUUCCACACACCCAUUGGUUCUCCGGGUGUCCUUGUGUUUGAUCAUCUGGAUGAGGGAGUUAAACAUGCCCUCACUACAUCUGCAGAUGACACCAAGUUGGAGGAAGCGUUGGAUCUACUGCUCAUUUCAA
rnacentral:lncRNA from 1 species